GUGCGUGUGAAGGUGAUGGUAUUGUAGUUUGCUCUUGUUUUUGCUUUGUUUUUAAUCUUUUCUGUUCGGUUGCACCUCUAGUACCUUUAAUGAGUGUGUCCUACGCAUGGAGAAGCCCAGCUGGAGAUGUGCUCCCUCAAUGAGUUGUGUAAUGGGAAGGGGCUGCUGUCAGCCCAGAGCAGAGGCUCCUGUUCCGCUGUGGGUUCAGGAGAAGUGGGAGCACCUCGGUGGAAACCUCUGUACAGGGUUUGUACACUGCAUGUGUGUUUGGUGGGAGAGCACAGUCGGUGUUCUGUAAGAGGCAGGGGAGAAUGUCCCUGCCUAGCAAUCGAAAUGCAGCCUGGGAACCAUGCAAACCUGGUGCCUGUGACACAUCAUGGAAGGGUAAGAGUCUUGUGAGUUCAUUCAUAGCUAUUCUUACAUCAAAUUCUCUUAAUUGCAGUGCCAUGAAUGAAGGCAGAGAUCCCAGUUCAUUGCUGGCACAAGAAGAGUCAAUGGCACUGAUUUAAGCCAGGUUACACCUUUUACAAUGUUCAUGUCAGCAGUGGUUUGGGCCCUUUUGCUUCUACUUAGAGUGAGUCAAAAGCAGGGUGAAAUGUAGGAAUAUUUGUGUUGGCUUCAAAACAUGAUUGAAGAUAAAUUGCUGUUAAGCUCCAUUUCUGUCUAGCUGUUGAUACAUGUAAUAUGGCAAAUUAAUUAAGAGCUUAUACUCACAAUAUAUGGGGAUUUCAAUUGUUUUAAAGUGGUUGUUAGUCUAUCAGCAGCUAGAGGAUACACACGCCUGAGUUAUUCUAGUAGAUCAGUGCUUCCAGAAGCAUAUGUUUGGUUUACCACACUUGCAGUUUCUUCCUGUCAAUCACCUUUUGUGCAUUUUUAAUGUGCGUUGAACUAACCAAAACUGUCCUUUGCCCAUUUUAUGAGUGUCAUGCAAAGCAGGGAAUGAAGUGGGUUGAUGACAGCUCAUCCAUCUCACUGUUUUUGAAAGGGAUUCUCCUACUGGACAUCAUGCAGAGCAGUGCUUUUUGAAGCCCACCCACCUAGUACUAGUCCCCCUUCAGACGUGAUUGUAUUUCCCUAAGGCACUUCUUGGAGUGGUGAAUGUGUAUCAUCAAACUGAAGAUUUUUUAAUGGAAUGUUAAAGAAAAUUGGGAAGAAAAUAGUGGCAGUGGGAUUCCAUUCCUUGCUGGAGGUAGAUACCAGAAAGGGUUAAAAGUGCCUGGUCUUGACUCAGUCAACACUGGAAUUUUCUUGUAGUUUUCAUUCCCAUUCUCUUCAUCAAGGUAUGUGAUAUAUUAUUUGGGUCCAGUUUUGCUAACUGGAUUGCAGGUGGGGGAUUCUGGGUGGAAGCUGUUCCUGGCCCAGCUGUCCCUGUAGCUCUAAUGUUGCAAUAUUUUCUCUCUGCAGAGCAAGACCAGAGACAGGGACAUGCCUAGGAAUACACAUCCAGCUUCUCAUCAGAAAAAGAAAAAAGGAGACUGUGAAAAAUAGAAAAAAUGCCAUAACAUUUUUCUCCAGAAUGGAUAAUAUGGGAGUUAGCUUCCUUUUUCAUUCUGAUGUAAGGAAAAAAAAAAAAACAACCCAGGCUUUCAGUCAAAUU